UUUCUCAAUCACUCACUCUCUUCCUCUCUCUUUCUCUCUUUCUCUCUAUCUCUCUCUCUUUCACAUUUCAUAUUCUUACUCCCCAGUCCCCCUCUUUAUCAUUCUAUCUCAUAAAAUAUGCUACAGAAAGAAUGGCCAGACUCGUUUUAACGUAAGCGCCACGUACGAUAAACUUCAGAUGUUUGAGAGCCGGAAGACAUAAACGAACUUUACACACACAUUUUAAAUUCUAUAUUUUUGCUCGCCAUCAACAUUAAACUUGCAUUUUAAUGCUAGAGGACUCUCAGUUAACAUCCGGUAAAUAAUUAUAAAGCUUGAACAAUUUUCUUUAUUUUAUUCGUCUUUUAUAUUAAUUGAGAUGCAAAAAGAAGCCGAGUCAACAUUCUUCCUCAAGAGGCACACUAAACACCGAAGAGCCUGUGUAUAUUUGGUCACCUUGUUUUAUAAGAGUCAGACUAUAUAGCCAUGUAAGUGAUUGAAUGCAUAGAUAUGCCUUUUUUAGAUAUGAUGGCUGUGCCCCAACAUGGCCGGAAACAGCUAACUGGCAGGAACUGAACGAGCAUAUAUUUUUCCAUACUUUCAUAACAUGCGCGCGCACACACACAUACACACACACAGAGCAUAUAUACAGUAAAAUGUGGCAUAGGCCAACAGAGAAGGAGCAUAAUAGAGUCUGUCGCAGGAUUACUCAUUUCUGUCAGAUAAGUGGAAUGGAGCAACGUGAAAUGAAGUUUUUUGCUCAGGAACACAAUUCAUCUCCCAGUUCAGGAAUCGAAACCACAGUCUUACGAUCGCGAGCGGAACGCCCUAAUCACUAAACUACGCUUCUCUACAUCAUAACUCUGGGCGAGGUAGAAACGGGCUUGUGACAUUUUCAUCGGACGCUACUGGAUGACUUUGAUCUACUUCCUCUAUUCAUUGUUUCUAAGCUCAAUACGUCCAUAAAAGACAUUAUCUAUGGAUGAACAGAUGCAUAAAAAUAAAAAUAAUAAAUCCAUGAUAAUUAAAGGCUCAAACAAUAACAGCUCAUUCGAUUCCAACACGCCAUUAUUACAUUGCAGUAAAUCCAAUCAGCUAAAAAUAUCAUUAAGCGCAAUAUAAUUAAAAUAAAAGUAGAAAAGCAUAAAUUUCACAUACAGUUUGUACACUGUGUUCAACAGCUGUUUCAUUAAGAAAUAUUAAAUGUAUAAUUACAUAAGUGUGACACGUAAUUAAUUAAUAUGAAAACAAUUUAAAUGAAAUAUAUUUAAAAGCUGUGUUUGCCCCCAAAUCAUUAGGAAAAUUCUACGUUUCAUAUAUAUAUAUAUAUAUAUAUAUUUAUAAGGAUAAGAUCGUUAUUUAAAAUACCGAUCAUAUAUAUAUAUAUAUAUAUAUAUAUUAUAUUGUAUCCUUUGCCUUUUACUUGUUUCGAUCAUUGAACUGUGACCAUGCUGGAGUACCGCCUCGAAGAAUUUAGUCUCAUCGACGCCAGCGCUUAAUAUUUUAAUGUCUGGUAUUUAUUCUUUGCUGAACCGCUAGGAUAUUGGGACACAAACAAACCAACACCGGUUGUCAAGCGAUGAGGGAGGACAAUCACCCACAUGCACACACACACUCACACAUACAUACAUACAUACAUACAUACAUACAUACAUACAUACAUACAUACAUACACACACGGUGGGUUUCCAUGCAGUUUCUGCCAACCAAUUCGUUCACAAAGCCAUUGGUCGACCCAAGGCUAUAGAAGAAGACACUUGCCUAAGGUACCGUUCAGUGGGACAACCCGAAACAAUGUGGUUGGAAAGUGAACUUCUUAACCACGCAGCUAAUUAUCUUAGAAACAAUAUAAAUGUUGUCCUUAAUAUAGAUUGUGUUGUCAAUUUUGUUCUAUAGUUUAACACUCUAUUAUUUUACAAUAAUAUAAAUGUUGUGCGUAUAAUAUGGUUAUAUCUUUGAUUUCGUUUCUUACUUAAAACGUUUUGCCCCCCGUUGACCGGACCGUAGCAGAAUAAUAUCAUAUCCCUUAUGAAUAUGAGACAUUUGCGACAGGAUAUUUUUUAUACUAAUUUUUAAUAUUGUUCAUAGCAAAUGUUUCUUUAAAACCGUGUUAUUGGUAUUUUCGGACAUUUCAUUAACUAUGUACAAGAUCAUAUGAUGUGAGACUUAAAAUUAGUCUGUUUUCAUAUUUAAAUUCUCAUUCUCUUGUAACUAUAGAUUCCUUUCUUUUUCCGCUCGUUCAAUCGGCAUAUAAUGCUUUCACAAGUUACCCGGCUCCAUUUGUACGAUUUCAAUUUUAAAUCUGAAUUUACCAAACACUUUGAUGUAGAAAAUCUAAUCUCAGAUUUUGUUCAGGAUUCACCACGUUUCGUUUUUUUUUCAUAAUGCGCAGUGUUUUCCUAAAGUCUGGACACAUAGAAAAUCUCAUGUGUUAGGCCCAUUUUUCUUCAAUGAGCAUAUAACUAGUGAGACUUACCUCCCCAUGUUGAGGGACCAGUUAAUACCCCAACUGAGUUGUUCCACCCCUGCUCAUUUCGCCACGGCAGUAAGAGAUUUACUGAAUGGCAAUUUCCCUAACUGGAUUGGAAGAUGUAGUCAUGUAGAGUGGUCUCCUCGUACAUCAUACCUUAGCCCCCUUUUGACUUCUUUUUCUGGGAUAUGCUAAAAGACAAAGUGUAUUCAAUGAAAAUCACAGAUGCAACACACUAGAUGGAACACAUAAAGAGCGAAUGUACUCAAAUUGAUGGCAGUGUAGAGUUAUUGCAUCGGGUUCACAUAAAAGCGCAUCGACCUUCGCAUCACAAAUGGUGGAAAUCAUAUUGAAGAUGUUGUUUGUAGAUAUUUCAAUUCAAUAAAAUGUUGUUGAAAACUUUACGUGUAUUUCUUGAAAAUAUACAUUUUGCCUAUGUGUCCAGAUUUUAGGGGCACCCUGUUAUAUAUCAAACUUCUUUUUGCGGCCUGUUGACGAAGGGAAUAGAUGUGUGUGUGUGUGUGUGUGUGUGUGUGUGUGUGUGUGUGUGAAUGUGUGUGUGUGUAUGUGUAUUUAUAUGCUUUAAUCUCCUUAAGACAUAAUUCAGCAUAGGAUUUAAUAUGCAUGUGCUUGUGCAUGUACUAUGUAUGUAUGUAUGUAUGUAGGUAGGUACGUACGUACGUAGGUAGGUAGGUACGUAGGUAGGUACGUAGGUAGGUACGUAGGUAGGUAGGUAGGUAGGUAGGUAGGUAGCUAGGUAGCUGGGUAGGUAGGUAGGUAGGUAGGUAGGUAGGUAGGUAGGUAGGUAGGUAGGUAGGUAGGUAGAUAGGUAGGUACCUACCUAAAGUCAUACUCAAAAUAAUUUCAAUACGCUCUGGAAUUGUCAAAGACAUGCAACCGUCCUCAGUCUCAGGAAGCUUCUCUCUAUCUAAUAUAUACGUGCCUUAGGUCUCUAGUUGAGACCCGGUCGGAAGAUGAAAUAAAAUGCAAUUGAAUCGGAAACUGAUAAAAAUAAUAAUACGAACGUGAUAUAAAUAAAAUGUCAACUGUUUUGGUGCGUAACUUUUGGCCUACCUUGUAUGUAAGCUUGAAGUGAAUUUUAUUCAUUCGGUUUUCUUCAGAUCUAUUGAGGACUAUUGGGAACUAUCGUAACGUGAAAAAUAUAUUCUUGGCGCAUUUGACGAACAUUUUAUUGUUAUACGCACGCACACUCACAUAUCUAUCUAUAUAUAUAUAUAUAACGGGAAGCUUUAUGAAAAUAAACAAAAGACGAAGGCAGGUGGAAUACAAACAAACAAUUGUAUUAGUAUGGCGCUCAGGAAUAUAAAUAAAACAAGUCUUUAACGUUUCGAGCCUACGCUCUUCAACAGAAAGAUACACAGAAAAGAAACACGGAGAGAAACAAGGAGAGAAAAAAAAUGCAUAUAUAUAUAUAUUAUUUAUUAAUUCGUAAUAGAAUAUAAAGAUAAAAAUCACGUUAAUGAUUUUUAUCAGGUAGUCAGCAUGCUAUAAAAAUGUAUAGGCAAUUUAUACAUUUAAUUAAUAAUAAUAUACAUAUGCUUAUAAUUAUAUUAAGGGAGCAAGGGCGAAAACGACCUAUCUCCAACAUGCUUGAAGUGCCGAGACCUUAAAAAAAAACUCCAGUUUUUGGUAGUUUUUUUAAGGUAUCAGCACUUCAAGCAUGCUGGAGAUUAAAUGUCUUGUUCAAGAACACAACACACAGCCAGGUUGUGAGCCCGACGCUCUAACCACUGAGCCAUGCGCAUUCACACACUCACACACACACACACACACACACACACACACACACACACACACACACACACACACACACACACAUAUAUAUAUAUAUAUAUAUAUAUAUAUAUAUAUAUAUAUAUAUAUAUAUAUGUAUGUAUGUAUAUAACUAUUUAUAUGUGUCUGUCUGUGUAUAUGUGUGUGUAUAAACAGGCAAACAGACAGGCAGAAAGAGAGAGAGAGAGAGAGGGGGGGAGACAUGUGUCUUAGAAUAAAUAUAAGGGUGUUAAAACAGUAUGCCCAAUCACUCAAAUAUGGAUAUGAUAUAUCUCGACUUUGCGAAAGCCUUUUGACGAAGUUAGUCAUGGAAUGAUCUCGGGGUAGUUGGAAAACUGCUGGAGUGUCAGAAUGAUUUUUUAAAAGACAGUUGUAGCGAAUUGGAGCAUCUCCUAGGGAACAAUGAUAGUGAGUGGAGCCUAGUAGGAUAUUGUCUUGGAGCCAGUAUUGUUCAUUGUGACUGUCUUAGACAUGGCACCAACUAUACAACUAUACAGCGGGGCCAUCCUCACUAGCCUUAUUCUUUUACUUGUUUCAGUGAUUAGACUGCGGCCAUGCUGGAUCACCUGCAUGAAGGGCUUUAGUUGAACAAAUCGAUUCAGGACUUAUUUUUUAAGCUUAGUACUUAUUCUAUUGGUCUUUUUUGCCGAACCGCUAAGUUACUGGAACAUAAACACACCAACACCGGUUAUCAAACAGUGAUUGGGGGACAGAUACAAAGACACAUACAUACAUACAUACAUACAUACAUACAUACAUACAUACAUACAUACGGGCUUCUUUUAGUUUCCAUCUACCAAAUCCAUUCGCAAGGCUUUGGUCGCCCCGAGGCUAUAGUAGAAGACACUUGCCCAAAGUGUCACGCAAUGGGACUGAACCCGGAACCGUGUGGUUGGGAAGCAGCUUCUUACCACACGACGAUACAAAAGAUGAUAAAGAAUCCUGGACAAGCUACGCACCUGUAACAUGAGUUAAAUGCUAUAUAUAAGUUGUUGUUGUUGUUGUUGUUGUUGUUGUUGUUGUUGUUGUUGUUGUUGUUGUUGUCAUUGUUGUUUGUUCCUUCUCGAGCCAUGCCUGUUUCAUUGGCGUAUAGGUGCCCCACCUAGACGGGACACCGGUCCGUCACAGGUGAGCUGCUAGAUGCAGAAGGAAAGCGUGAGACAAAGUUGUGGCGAAAGAGUCAGCAGAAGUUCGCCAUUAACUUCUGCCGGAGCCGCGUGGAGCUUAGGUGUUUCGCUCAUAAACAUCGCCCGGUCUGAGAUUCGAACCCGCGAUCCCUCGACCAUGAGUCCGCUGCUCUAACCACUAGGCUAUGUGCCUCCACGCUUUAUAUAAGUGGGUUGAAGAAAACAGAAUACAGUCCAACCCCGCAGCCAUCAACUCACAAAAUUAAAAGCAAUGAACACGAAAUACACUUGACCAAGAGGAAUUGCAAUCUUCUUAGAGUCGCAAUCAGUACUUGACCUAGGCAUUAACGUAAGUGGUAUGCAUGUUUUCAUGUGCAUAUUUCUAAGAUGGCAAUGAACUGCAGCUGGCUGGCCGGAUGGAUUCUAAGAAGCUCAGAACAUUAAAGCGGGAAACCAUAAUAGUCCUCUGGAGGACAUUUGUCUUCGUCUAGAUUAUUGCUCACAGUUAUAAUCACCACAUAGUGUAAAAUUAAUGGCGGUACUUGAAGCAAGUCAAAGCUGUUACACGAAGAUGAUUGCCUCAAUGCAACAAACCAGGAAAGGUUGAAAAAGAGUUAAGACACACUUCAGCGAAUACGGGAAAGGUGUGCUGUAAUAUGUUUCUGAACGAUCCCGGAAGGACUUGCACCGAACUUUACCAUUGAUGUUAAUCUCCAAACGUGGCACCACUGCAAUGGGCCUUAGAUCGCAUCUUCGCCAUCCAAAUUUCAAACUAGAUAUUGCAAUAACUUAGGUGUUCAUGAAGUCAUAUCUUUUCGAUAUUCUACCGAAAGACUUAAAAAAACCUAUGUAAUGUGGAAUGUAGACGUCUUCAAAACUUCGCCUUCCACUGUCUAGAAUUCCUGACAAGUUUUCUUCGCGGAGAGAAACACAGCUUCGGACUCUACCGUUCACCAAAUACCAACUAAAGGAGGAUCGGUAAAAAGUGUAAGUAAACAACAUUAGUGCCCCAACUUGGCCAUAACUCACGGACUGAAAUAAGUAAAAGAAAAUUAUAGAAGAUAUAUACACUCACACGCAUAUACACAUUCAUAUAGAUAUAUGUACACAAUGCAUACACACACACACAUAUAUAUAUAUAUACGUUUAAAUGUGCGUGUGCAUAUAUAUAUAUAUAUAUAUAUAUAUAUAUAAACACACAAAUACACACAGAUAUGUAUGUAUAAUGCUGCGGGAGAUAGACACUCUAUGUAUGUGUGUGUGUGUGUGUAUGUAUAUGUAUAUGUAUAUAUAUAUAUAUAUAUAUAUAUAUAUAUAUGUAUAUAGGUAUGUAUGUAAGUAUGUGUCAUACGUACGCACACACACACACACACACACACACACACACACAUACACAUACACACGCGUGUAUGCAUAUCGGAAUAUAUCGGUGUUGCUUUACUCUUAUGUUGAAUGUUAAAUAUGGAAGAGACGGGAAAGAUGAGUUGGAAGAAUCGAUCAAUGUAAAAGUAUAGGGAAACAUCUCUACAUUUCCUUCACAGUAUCCUGAGAGGAAGGAAAACAUAAACCAUUCAGAACUACUGCACUUAUCUCAUGUUCUUUGAAUAGAGGCCACUGUGUACGUAUGUGUGUAUUUGGGCAUGCGUGUGUCUUAAUACGUACAAUACAUUUUAUGUAAGCAUGUGUGUAAGUAUGUACAUGUUUGUGUGUGUAUUCGCACACACACACACACACACACACACACACACACACACACACACACACAAACGUUUGAAUUUGCAGGCGAAUGGGGAUUGUUCAAUGUAAAUAAUAGAGUUUAGAGUUUAUUCAGAGACCGACUGAGAAUGGGGUCGGGGAAAAUCUCAGCUUCGAACAAAUGAAGUGGAGAUGCAUAUAUACACACUCACAUUGACGGACAGACAAGCAGAGAGAGAGAGAGAGAGAGAGAGAGGGGGGAUACAUAGAUAGAUAGAUAAUGUAGUCAAGAUAACAGACAUCAAUUUUAUUAGAUCUGAUCUACGAAGAAUAUUCACUCCAUCUGGCUAUUGAAGUCCUUUUGCUCUGUAUGGAGCACAGACCAUCGACGACUUUUUUCCCCCCUGAUCUUGACCCUGAACUGUCUUUUCUUCUCUCCAGCUCGAUGCCUCCUUUGGUCAGCUGUGCUUCUAUAUGCCGCCUCCAACUACUUUUAAGGUCCUUCUCUUCCACCUCCCUUGUGGGGCCUGACGUAUCAUAUAUUCCCCUAAGGGAAGAACUUCCUCUCCCAAGUCUUUUUUGGUUUUGGAUUGCCAUCGAUGAUUCUGUAAUUUUGUUUGUUUGUUUGUUUAUUUGCUGUUGUUGUUGUUUUUCUCUAGUUAGUGGUGUUGACCCUAGGCAAAUUCAUUUUCAUAUCUGGCAAAGGGUCAAAUUAACCUGGCCUCUGUCUUUUGACUUGUUGGACAUGGGAGGCCCAACUUGGAGUCUGUGCUCCACUGGCAUAGCUUUCGGUAUCACUGAGACAAGAAUGUCUGUAUUUUGUGGUAGCUUUAUUUGGCAAGCCUUAGAUAUAGCCGUUUCCGUUCUUUAUGCUCCUAUACCACCUUUAUGCGUUCAUCCUAUGCAAAUCAACAGGAUGCAAUUCGGUGUUUUAUUCUCAUUACAUCCAUGUUGUUGCAUUGCUGCAUUACUGUUUUGUCUGUUAAGGGUUUUAUUAUACCACCAGACGCAACCCUCAAACAAGGGGUGACGUACGCUGGCAGAAAUAUGCUCCAAUAAUGCAAAACUUCGAUGUCACAACGAUGACAACCAAUAGCGUCAGUUCUGCUCCACUGUAUAAUAUUGACCUGGAGGCCAGGAAUGGGAAUACCUUGUUCACCACACUCAGUAGGAUUCAUAACUUCGUUGACUUCAUUCUUUACAAAAUAUUCCAUCGACGGGUUUCUUUGCUUAACUAUCUCACGUUAUUUCACAUGUUUAUUAUUUCCAACCCCACUGCUUUUGUUGCACGCUUCUCUUCUUGGAUCUGGCGAAUUUCUCCCAUCACAAUACCUAACCUGCCUUUGUGAUUCUAGCGUAAUAUCCAGUUGUUUCAUACCCGAUCCAUUCAAACCUGGAAUGGGUCGGAUUCUGCUUUGUCAGGACCCUGCCACUUCAAAAUCUCUGCUACGCUAUGUUUUGUAUUAUUAAUUAAUUAUCCGCGUUGUCAGCGCAUGCGAUGUCAUGCAAAUUAAGUCACCUAAUUUAACUGCCCGAGCUUGUAUAAAAUAUAAACAGCUAUAAGCUACUAAUUUCUCUACGUACAAAGGAUAAAUACCUUUCACAGACGAAGGACUAAUACUAAAAUUAAAUAGGUCGGACUAAAUUGAUAGAUCUAAAUAAAGAGGUCUAAGACUAAAUAGGUAGGUUAUUCUUUUCCAUUCUUUUUUUGUCCAAGGAGAGCUUGUAUAAAAUAUAAACAGCUAUAAGCUACUAAUUUCUCUACGGACAAAGGAUAAAUACCUUUCACAGAUGAAGGACUAAUACUAAAAUUAAAUAGGUCGGACUAAAUUGAUAGAUCUAAAUAAAGAGGUCUAAGACUAAAUAGGUAGGUUAUUCUUUUCCAUUCUUUUUUUGUCCAAGGAGAGAUAAAAUCUUAUGAUAUUACGAUUUUCAUUACUUCUUGCAGCGUGGUUAAAACUAUAAGUUUACAAAAAUAUAUUUCAUAAAUUAACUUAACAGCAUUUCAAAUUAUCCACAAAUCGCUUUGUACAUUAUUAAUUAAUGAAUUGUAAAUCACAGAUGCUAUCACCAACAAAAUAAGAAUGCUCAAUUCGUGCAGUAAAACUACAGAUUUAUUAUUUUAAGAUAGUUGAUAGGAGUUACAGGUUCAUAACUACUAGUUUCAUGCCUAUAGCUAAACACUUACAAGCAUCAGAUGAAUCUGCAAUGAACCUCAAGUACGGAUAGUGGUUUUGUGUGUUUAUAAGAUGACUUCAUUCAGUAUGUUUAUAAGAUAUUUGUAUUACUUAUACAUGCGCAUUAGGAAUAUAGUAUCAGAGGAUUGUAAAGCUUUGUUUCUAUAAGAUCAAUUAUCUCUCCCAGGUGAGAUAUGUAAUAUUAGUUUCAAGUUAUGGCACAAGGCCAGCAAUUUCGGGGAAGUGGAGUAAGUCGAUUACAUCGACCCCAGUGAUCUACUAGUACUUAUUUUAUCGACCCCGAAAGGAUGAAAAGCAAAGUUGAUCUCAGCAGAAUUUGAGGUCAGAGCAUAAAUUAGGACGAAAUGCCUCUAAGCAUUUUUCCCCAGCGUGCUAACCAUUCUGUUAGCUCACUACCUUAAUGAGAUAUGUAAUAUUAUCGCUGCGUAAGAUUGACUGAAGUGUAAAUUCUGGUAAUUCCAUAAUACAGAAUGGCAAGAAAAAUAAUCGCUUUAAUCAAAUUGUUCUGUAUUUGUUUCUGGUUUCCUAAAAUGAAUUUUCCAAAAUGCAUGCAUCCACCAAAAAUUUCUAUUCUAAUAUUUAAACAAUCUUUUAGGCAUUUGAAACAUUUUAGGAUAAAAACCUUCUAAAUUGUUUGUACAUAACUUGCUUCGUUCAUAUAAGAUUAGCUCCAUUAUAAAAAUUUCCAGUUUCUAUCGAAUUUAAUUCCACAGUCUUUCAAUCGCCAAAUAUAAUUAGUAUGCUGACGUUCCUCUUUCGUAUAUAGCUAAAAGAAAUAUGCUUGAAAUAGCGGUAUUAGAAUUUAGCUUCCGCCAUUCCAACAUAAUGCUUAUUCACGUUCUUUAGAUUUUGUUCCGUGAAGGCAAUCACGGUCUCGCAAAUAAAUGAUCGUCUGAACGUUUGCAUGACUGCCAGAGAGGACAUAAAUUUUUAUUUCUACAAAAGCAAUUUACCCCUGUUGGUUUGCUGAGAUUUCUGGUGACUACGCAUUUCACAUUUGAUGUACAACUGUAAUCUAUUUUUGAAUUAUUUCUGAUAAUCAUUUUUCUAUAUAGGUUGUUGAUCAGGAAAUAUUUAUAAAUUAGACAUGGGAAGAGACUAGUUGUAGUGGAUAUGAAAUUUAAUGAGAGGUGGAACCAAAUAAUUUUCCGGUAACCUUUUCUAUUGGUAGGUGACUGGCUGGCUGCUGAUUAAGGAUGAAAUGAGUAUUUUCUUCUUUUCCAAUUACUGCUACUUACAUGCAACUUAACCCAGUUUUGAUUCCGAUAUAAAUUUGGAAGGAUCGCCACAAAAAUAUUCCACUUCUGAAAUAUUUGAUGAAAUCUAUAAGGCACAAGAAUGUUUUAUAUAAUCUUUUCUACUCUAGGAACAAGGCCCAGAAUUUUUGGAGAAGGGGACCAGUAAAUUAGAUCAACCCCAGUACGCAAAUGGUACUUAAUUUAUCGACCCCGAAAGGAUGAAAGGCAAAGUCGUCCUCGGUAGAAUUUGAACUCAGGACGUAAAGACAGACGAAAUACCUAUUUCUUUACUACCCACAAGGGGGCUAAACACAGAGAGGACAAACAAGGACAGACAAACGGAUUAAGUCGAUUAUAUCGACCCCAGUGCGUAACUGGUACUUAUUUAAUCGACACCGAAAGGAUGAAAGGCAAUGUUGUCCUCGGCAGAAUUUGAACUCGGAACAUAAAGACAGACGAAAUGCCGCAAAGCAUUUCAACCGGCGUGCUAACGUUCCUGCCGGCUCGCCGCCUUAUUUAUUUCUUUAUUGCCCACAGGGGGCUAAACAUAGAGAGGACAAACAAGGACAGACAAACGGAUUAAGGAGAUUACAUCGACCUCAGUGCUUAACUGGUACUUAUUUAAUCGACCCCGAAAGGAUGAAAGACAAAGUUGACCUCGGCGGAAUUUGGAAUGUUUUAUACAAUACACCGGCAUUUGAGUUACAGCACAACGUUUACUACUAACACAAAGUUUAAAAUAUUUUUGCAAAUAAAGUAAAUGCCAAGUGCAAACCAUUGCUUGUUUUAUUAGCUUACUAAGUAAUUGUUUAAAUACAAUAUGGAAGCACUCCGUCGGUUACGACGACGAGGGUUCCGGUUGAUCCGAAUCAACGGAACAGCCUGCUCGUGAAAUUAACGUGUAAGUGGCUGAGCACUCCACAGACACGUGCACCCUUAACGUAGUUCUCGGGGAUAUUCAGCGUGACAUAGAGAGUGACAAGGCCGGCCCUUUGAAAUACAGGUACAACAGAAACAGGAAGUAAGAGUGAGAGAAAGUUGUGGUGAAAGAGUACAGCGGGGAUCAAUACUAUCCCCUGCCGGAGCCUCGUAGAGCUUUAGGUGUUUUCGCUCAAUAAACACUCACAACGCCCGGUCUGGGAAUCGAAACCGCGAUCCUAUGACCGCGAGUCCGCUGCCCUAACCACUGGGCCAUUGCGCCUCCACUUUAAAUACAAUAUAGAAAUCACAACACUGAAUAGAAUGGAUAUAUGGAUAUAGAUAUUAUAUCAAAAGAUAUUAUAUCUGUGUUUAGCCCCUUGUGGGUAGUAAAGAAAUAAGUAUUUCGUCUGUCUUUACGUCCUGAGUUCAAAUUCUACCGAGGACAACUUUGCCUUUCAUCCUUUCGGGGUCGAUAAAUUAAGUACCAUUUGCGUACUGGGAUUGAUCUAAUUUACUGGCCCCCUUCCCCAAAAAGGGGACAAUCUACUCUGAGUUUCCUGAUUUUCAUGAACUGCCAACGAAAUUCAAGGAAGAAUGUCAGUUUGCGUGUGCGCGCGCGCGCGCGUGUGUGUGUGUGUGUGUGUGUGUGUGUGUGUGUGUGUGUGUGUGUGUGUGUGUGUGUGUGUGUGUGUGUGUUUGUGUGUGUGUGUGUCUUUUAUCUUUUACUUGCUUCAAUCACUGGACUGCGGCUUUGCUGAGGAACUGCCUUGAAGGGUUUUAGUCCAACAAAUCGGCUCCACUUCUUAGUUUUAAAUCUAGUACUUAUUCUAUCGGUCUCUUUUGCCAGACCGUUAAGUUACGGAGAUGUAAACAAACUAACACUGGUUGUCGAGCGAAUAGAGGUAACAGACACAAAGUUACACACACACACACACACACACAUACAUAUAUAUAUAUAUAUAUAUAUAUAUAUAUAUAUAUAUAUAUAUAUAUGUCUAUAUAUAUAUAUAUAUAUAUAUAUUUAUACGACGGGCUUCCACGCAGUUUCCGUCAACUAUGGUAGAAGACACUUACCCAA
rnacentral:lncRNA from 1 species